AUUGAACGCUAGCGGCAUGCUUUACCCAUUCAAGUCGGACGAGUUGCACACGGGUGAGUAACGCAUCGGAACGUACCCAGUCACGGGGGCUAACUGUUCGAAAGGAAAGCUAAUACCGCAUACUAUUCGAGCGGCCGAUGUCUGAUUAGCUGGUUGGCGGGGUAAAGGCGCACCAAGGCCACGAUCAGUAGCGGGUUUGAGAGGAUGAUCCGCCAAACUGGGACUGAGACACGGCCCAGACUCCUACGGGAGGCAGCAGUGGGGAAUUUUGGACAAUGGGCGAAAGCCUGAUCCAGCCAUGCCGCGUGUCUGAAGAAGGCCUUCGGGUUGUAAAGGACUUUUGUCAGGGAAGCGGUACCUGAAGAAUAAGCACCGGCUAACUACGUGCCAGCAGCCGCGGUAAUAC
rnacentral:rRNA from 1 species